CUGUGGCCUGACCCGUCCUUGGGCCGCCGAGAGCGCUUAGCCACACCCCCAACCACCUGAGCCUCCAGUGCCGUGGUCGGAAAGCUCCGGGUUCCGUUGCUCGUCCAGAGGCCGCGGCAAUGUGGCUUCAUGCCUCAACAACUGUAGCUUGUGACUUCCGUCUUUCCGUUCUUUUAAAUUUUAUGUGUUAUGGGCGUUAGUUACCGGCUUGCAUGGUUGUGCACCACGUGUGAGCAGUGCCUGAGGAGGCUGAAAGAAGGUGUUCAAUUUACUAGAACUGGAGUGAUGCAAUGAAUGGUCUUGUGGGCCACAGACUGGUAUCUAGCUCAUCUUGAACACUGCCACCAUCGUGACCACAGGAGCCCUCCCUAUUUCUGCAUUCAUUUUUUCAUUGUUUUGAAUGUCAACGUGUUCAUUAAACAAUUGAAGCCUCAU
ensembl:antisense Gm12089 predicted gene 12089